rnacentral:rRNA from 1 species
CCUACGGGGCGCAGCAGUGGGGAAUAUUGGGCAAUGGGCGCAAGCCUGACCCAGCAACGCCGCGUGAAGGAAGAAGGCUUUCGGGUUGUAAACUUCUUUUAAGGGGGAAGAGCAGAAGACGGUACCCCUUGAAUAAGCCACGGCUAACUACGUGCCAGCAGCCGCGGUAAUACGUAGGUGGCAAGCGUUGUCCGGAUUGAAUGGGUGUAAAGGGCGUGCAGCCGGAGAGACAAGUCAGAUGUGAAAUCCACGGGCUCAACCCGGGAACUGCUUUUGAAACUGUUUCCCUUGAGUGUCGGAGAGGUAAUCGGAAUUCCUUGUGUAGCGGUGAAAUGCGUAGAUAUAAGGAAGAACACCAGUGGCGAAGGCGGAUUACUGGACGAUAACUGACGGUGAGGCGCGAAAGCGUGGGGAGCAAACAGGAUUAGAUACCCGGGUAGUC